CGUCCUCCGUGCUCUCCCUACAUAUCUGCAUGAGGAUGACUCCGGAUUUCUGAAGCUGUGGGAUCAGGCCCUGUCAGAUGAACUGCAAAUCGACAACAUACCAGUUGGGCUCCUCCUGAUCAGUGCCACUUCAACAGAUGCUGCGGUAUUCUGCCCCGAGAAGGUUGCCGUUGUGCUUGAGGCGCCAAACUUUGAGAAGCCCUUUAAACUUCAGGUGGACGCAAGUGGAGUUGGUGCAGGAGCUGUACUGUUGCAAGAAGGGAAG